rnacentral:rRNA from 1 species
GUCGUAACAAGGUUUCCGUAGGUGAACCUGCGGAAGGAUCAUUACAGAGUUGUUAUAAGAGCUGCUGCUGACCCUUUGGGGGGUAUGUGCACGCUUUUUCACUCUAUUCAUCCACCUGUGCAUUCUUUGUAGAAGUUCUUGUUGAGUUGGCUAGCUUACCUUUCAUGAGGUCGGUCUUGUAUUGGUUGGCUUCAACGAGGGCUUCUAUGUCUACUAUCAAACUACAUUGCAUGUUUUGAAUGUUUACUUUUACUGGGACACUUUGUUGACCCUUUAAAAUCUAUACAACUUUCAGCAACGGAUCUCUUGGCUCUCCCAUCGAUGAAGAACGCAGCGAAAUGCGAUAAGUAAUGUGAAUUGCAGAAUUCAGUGAAUCAUCGAAUCUUUGAACGCACCUUGCACCCUCUGGUAUUCCGGAGGGUAUGCCUGUUUGAGUGUCAUUAAAUUCUCAACUUCAAAAAGUUUAUAAUAGGCUUAUUGAACGUUGGAUGUGGAGGUCUUUUGCUGGCGUGUUCUUUCUUAGAACAUUUCCGGCUCCUCUUAAAAGCAUUAGUGGAAAACCUUACUAUUGGGCCAUUUUUGGUGUGAUAAUUAUCUACGCCUUAUAUUUGGUUCCAUGAAGACUUAUCCCUCCCCAUUGCAUUAGCUUGCUCUGUUCUGAUAAGUUAAAGGCAUUAUCUGCUAUCAAACUGUCCAUAUAUGCGGACAAUUAUUGACCAUUUGACCUCAAAUCAGGUAGGAUUACCCGCUGAACUUAAGCAUAUCAAUAAGCGGAGGAAAAGAAACUAACAAGGAUUCCCCUAGUAACUGCGAGUGAAGAGGGAUAAGCUCAAAUUUAAAAUCUGUCAGUCUCUGGCUGUCCGAGUUGUAAUUUAGAGAAGUGUUGCCCGCAUUGGACCGUGUACAAGUCUCCUGGAAUGGAGCGUCAUAGAGGGUGAGAAUCCCGUCUUUGACACGGACUACCAGUGCAUUGUGGUGCGCUCUCAAAGAGUCGAGUUGUUUGGGAAUGCAGCUCUAAAUGGGUGGUAAAUUCCAUCUAAAGCUAAAUAUUGGGGAGAGACCGAUAGCGAACAAGUACCGUGAGGGAAAGAUGAAAAGAACUUUGGAAAGAGAGUUAAACAGUACGUGAAAUUGCUGAAAGGGAAACGCUUGAAGUCAGUCUCGUUAGCUGGGGAUCAGCCUCCCUUCUUGGGUGGUGUACUUCCUAGUUGAUGGGUCAGCAUCAGUUUUGAUCAAUGGAUAAGAGCUUGAGGAAUGUGGCACCUCUGGGUGUGUUAUAGCCUUUUGUUGUAUACAUUGAUUAGGACUGAGGAACUCAGCACGCCGCAAGGCCGGGUUUUUAACCACGUU